rnacentral:lncRNA from 1 species
AGUUAUUAGAGAUGAGUUAAAAAAAUCUCUCACAAUUGGGGAAAAAAUAAACAGGGGGGAGGGGGUAAUAAUUCAGGGGGGCUAAUAAUUCUGACUUCAACUGUAUUAACAGUGCUAUUGGACACAAAUGAAGAAAGGUAUACUGUACAGUAAAAAAAUGCAUACAGCACAAAAACAGCAUUACAUAAUAUGGAUGUCAAUGUCUGCUGGUUUUCAACAUUCGUCAGAAUAUCUUCUUUUGUUUUCAACAAAAGAAAGACAUCCAUAUUUUAGAACCAGCUGAGUGUGAGGCAACGAUGAGGAAAGUUAAAUUUUUGGGUGAACCAUCCCUUUUUAAUACAAAAAAAAAAAAAAAAAAAAAAAAAACUCAUCUUUAUUUUUUUCUACUACUGUGUUUUUACUUAGGCCUAUUGAUCUGAUAACAACGUCUCCUUUUCUCUUCAUAUCUCUUUACUUCUUAUAUCUAAAAGUAAGGCAAAUCAAGAGCCAUAUAGUGGACUGCUAAUAGUAUUACUUCCGUUUUGCUAUUGAACCCCAUUUAUUGUCUCAGAGGUCUCACACCUCGUUUGUUAUUAUGUAGGCUUGCUGAAUUGUUUUUUUCGCGUUCACGCAACGACAAGCAGAGCAUGUAAAUCAGGGCGAGAUCCUCCGAUUAAACACGUUUCUGAUCAUUGUUAAGCGAUAGCAGCACAUCUGGAGUGAAGUGCAGGAAUCAGCGACUGUGUGUGUCAAACUUCAACCUCGCGAUUUAACACGAGCUGCUAAUGAGUCGUAGAGUGUUAUUGUGAAAUUGCAUUAAACGCCACGACAUGCAAGAGGAUAAUUGAGUAACACAGCGGCAAACUGCGGUUGUGCUCUGUUUUUUAACAAUAAACAAGGAAUGGAGCAAUAUAAACAGCAUUUGGAUUAAGUUAAUGGCAGUCACAGCGCUCUGGGGCUCUGGAGGUAUUUCAGAAAAAUCAGAGAAAUCAAUCCAACAUGAAACUGAAGGAAAACAUCUAAUGUCAUUGAGCAAUAACUCGCUCCUGCUCUCCUGUCAACGUGGAACCUUAGAGCGAGAGCCUAGGCUCGUGUGCUUCUCUUGGCUCAUUCUCUGCUCAAACCCAUAUGCCGUUCACCGUUCACCACAUCUGAACCGGAGCAGACCCACAAACCAACGAUCACCCCAGCUCCUCUCAUUUCACUGGGCUUCGCCGCGGCCCACCAGGCUCUUGGAAGAUUGAUGAUCCGUCGGUGCGAUGCCACUAUGCCAGAUUUGCUGAAGGUCUGGAUUCAUUGGUCUGGUAAAGGAAGGGCAGGAAUAGCUGGGAAAUUUGGCAUCACUUUGGGCUUUAUUCAGUAGUUGGGCCAGCAGUGCUGGAGAGACACUCAUGCAUGUCAGCCCAAACAACUGCUGCCAAACACAACCAGAUGAUGAUUUCAUUUUGGAGAACAAGAACACCUUUCGGGAAGGGUGUGUGAUAAUUAGAAUUAACUUGAAUUAAACUUAUAUUAAGCAUUCA